rnacentral:rRNA from 1 species
GAAUCUGCCUAUUAGUGGGGGACAACAUUCCGAAAGGAAUGCUAAUACCGCAUACGUCCUACGGGAGAAAGCAGGGGACCUUCGGGCCUUGCGCUAAUAGAUGAGCCUAAGUCGGAUUAGCUAGUUGGUGGGGUAAAGGCCUACCAAGGCGACGAUCUGUAGCGGGUCUGAGAGGAUGAUCCGCCACACUGGGACUGAGACACGGCCCAGACUCCUACGGGAGGCAGCAGUGGGGAAUAUUGGACAAUGGGGGGAACCCUGAUCCAGCCAUGCCGCGUGUGUGAAGAAGGCCUUUUGGUUGUAAAGCACUUUAAGCGAGGAGGAGGCUACUUAGAUUAAUACUCUAGGAUAGUGGACGUUACUCGCAGAAUAAGCACCGGCUAACUCUGUGCCAGCAGCCGCGGUAAUACAGAGGGUGCGAGCGUUAAUCGGAUUUACUGGGCGUAAAGCGUGCGUAGGCGGCUGAUUAAGUCGGAUGUGAAAUCCCUGAGCUUAACUUAGGAAUUGCAUUCGAUACUGGUCAGCUAGAGUAUGGGAGAGGAUGGUAGAAUUCCAGGUGUAGCGGUGAAAUGCGUAGAGAUCUGGAGGAAUACCGAUGGCGAAGGCAGCCAUCUGGCCUAAUACUGACGCUGAGGUACGAAAGCAUGGGGAGCAAACAGGAUUAGAUACCCUGGUAGUCCAUGCCGUAAACGAUGUCUACUAGCCGUUGGGGCCUUUGAGGC